rnacentral:lncRNA from 1 species
UUUAGUAGCUUAAUGUUAUGAUUGAAAUUAUUAUCCCAUGAUAUAGUGUUUAUUGCCUUGAAUAUCAUUUCAAACUGUAAAUCUGUAUAGAGAUUUUUUAACACUGGCAUUCUAGGGAUUCUGAAACAAGGCCUUAGUAGCUUAGUUAAAUGGUUUGGAUAUGAUUGGAAUGCCAAUAGGGCAUUUCUAUUACUAGUACUUCUAUUAUUAGUACUUUGACACUUCAACUACUGGCACUUUUUGUGCAAUUCUGAUCUGGUCUUCAUACACCCACAUUUCAAUGUUUCUGUUAUUGUAGCUCUGAACAACUAGUCCUUAGUAUCCCCUCUUUAUUUACAAAUGCUAUUAUUUACAAACUACC